CCAUAAUGUAAGGGUUCACUGCACUGGGGGACAACAGAACAAAGAGAAGCAGCGCCAACCGAAAACGGCCCCAGUGAGAAGCAACAAGUUGUCUCUGAAAAUGUCUCCUCAUCUGCCUUUGAGUGGUAUGGAAUCACUGCUGAGCCUCCACUAUUGGUGCCAUCAAAGACCUCAGUGAUGCCAAGUUUCUGGCAUCAUGCUAGGUUCUAAGGAUACAAAAAUGAAUGAGAUGCUAUCACCUGCUGUCAAGAAAUUCACAGCCUAGGGAGAGAGUGACAUAUGACCAGAGAGGGUCCAAUGUGGACAGAUAAUGAAGAAGGGAGUCAGCAGAGGAGAUUCUGAGAACACAAAGGAGAAGAGAGGCAGCAACCCAGCGUGGGUGGGGUGAGCUGAUCAGAGAAGGCCUCCUGGAGCAGUGCACCCAGAGCUGAUAUGGAGUUGGAAAGAUUAAAGGCUGGAUGGUGAUGAGCAGAUUUCAUCUUUCUGCCAAGAACAGAUUGACCCUGAGCAAGGAUAAAAAGGCCAGCCAUAAGGAGACAUGACAAAUACCAUUGAGUACUGCAGAGCAACUUGGCAGCUGCCCGAGAAUGUGAUGACACAGAAUAAAGAUGUGAGACAGAAUCUGUGCUGAGGUCUAAAUUCACAUUGGAAGUCUGGGAAGAGAAGACUGUUUAUAAAAUUAUAGCCCAGGAAUUGCUGCCAAAGUCGGCCUUUGGUGCAGCUGUAAGUCGGAUGGAAUCCACCUUCCUGACGUCAGACCCACCCACUGGAACACUGCUCCUCUGACUGGGGCUUCCCUGAAUGGAAACUACAUGUCAUACUGCAAAGUUCCAGAUAGAUUUCAUCACUCAAGAUAAGCAAAUGAACCACAGAAUUUUGAAGUUAGAGAACAACUUCUGAAAGAGAAAAAAGUCUUUGUCUCAGUUUCUGCUCUCCAGAGGUAACCCAAAGAGGUAAGGAACCCAGUGAGAAAGACAGAGAGAAGUAUGGACAAGAAACAGAUCCUAAACCUGUUUUGUUUUAUUUUUGGUAGUAGUUGUUUAUUUUUGAAAACAUUCAAACCACCUGUAUUGGUGGCUGUUAUUAUGAAAUAAAUAAACUGAGAAACAACAAGACAAUUUGGCCUCUACAAUUUGUUUAGUUUUGACUAAGUAUUUGCCUUGGAAGAAGUAUGUGUACAAUACUCAUUUUUAAAAGAUGCAACAGUCACCUCGUUACUUGGAGUUUUACUUGAGACUUGAAUGGACUGAAACCACCUGGUCACCACUAGAAGCUACAUCAAGGAAAAGAAAGGCAACAUAUUGAAUCUCUUGGGAGAAACUCAUCCUGUAUCUGCUCGAUUGAAAACAUGAAGGUGCACAUUCCAAGCUGCAUAUGCUCAGGUCCGAGUUUCCAAGGAAACAAGGGACUGCUCAUCUAUCUGCAAAACUGAACUGACGAGUCACUUUCAGCUUGUUACAAACCUUGAUUCUGAAUCAAAUUCUAGUGUGCAGUCUAAAAAUUCUCACUGCCUUGUCAUUUCUGCCGAGCAAACCCCUGAUGCUAUGAGGCUGGCAGUUGGGCAGGGAUUUUCCUGGGUUGUGCACUCUAAUUUUUUCCUCUGCACUGUUAGUGAAAUACUGUCAUUGAGAACCAGCUCCACACUGCACCUAUGUGAGAAAGGCCUUGGUUUCUAUCAGUAAAGUCAGACAGGGCUAUGUGCAUUUGGGAUGCCCUGGUCAACCAUACAGGAGGAAGCACAGUGGUCUUCCCAGCUCUCACAGUGGCCACCAGCUCUCAGGCUCACAAACUAGGCAAAGCAAAGAGCAACAGAACAACCUACUUCCCAACUUUCAUUAGUCACUCAAAUCCAAGUGGGUGAUCGUAUUUCUGAAGGUCUUGAAUACAGGACUUCCUGACCAUUCUUUAGCAUUUACUGAUGAAAGUAUUUCAGAUGUGUUAUGUUGUUUGGCAUGUGUUAUGUUGUUUGGCAAUCACAGUAAGUGUUGAGAUAGAUACUAUGAUUAUCUUCAUUCUCUAGGAACAGGCACAGAGAGGUUAAGUAAUUUCCCAAAGGUCACACAGUUUGUAAGUGAUAAAACUGAUUUGAAGCCAAACUAUGUCACCCCAAACUCAUAUUUUUAACACUUUAUUCCAUCUUCUAAAAGGCUGGCUAUUCUAUUUUUCUCUAAGUUUCAAAUUAGUAUGCCCAUUCCCUUGUUCAUUCAUUCAUUCAUCCAACAAACAUGUGUCAGGCAUCUAUGCCAGGCUCUGUGGAUAUAGUAUAAUAACAAACAAGACAGAUAAGAUUUCUCAGGGAGCUUACGUUUUGUAGAGGAGACUAAAUAAAUAAGCAAGCACAAACAAUGUAGAGUUUGUAAUAUUACCUAUCCCAGCAAAGGAAACCAACACUAGUGUGAGAAAAUUAAAUUAUAAAAGACCCUAACAUUUUCAAGAUACUGAAGGGGAUGAGAUGAAGCAGAGGUAGAGUGGGGCUGGAUUAUGCUGAAACACAUAGAACAGACUGGAUUCUAUUUUAAGUGAGGUGAUAAAUUCUUAAGGGUUUGUCAUUUUUGAGGUAGAACUGUCUUUUGUUCCUAUUGUAAAGAAACUACAUAGGUAGGCAUAAAAUACACCUGUAUGCCAGAGAUAGAAAAAUUCAUAUAAUUCCCAACUCCAAUUCUAUUUCUCUAGGAUAAUUUUAAUUGUGUAUAUGAAACAUAUCUCAAUGUUCUUGAAAGACUGAAAUCCACUCUUUUUAUUAUUUAUUGACUUAUUGAUUUGUGGUUAAGGAAAAAGUAGACUGAAGUAAAAAUAAAGAGUGCAGGAGUAUAAUUGCACAAGAAGUGGGAGGGAGACUUGUUGAACAGGCAACAGCCUAAAGUGAGUAUCCAUGAGUGGGCUCAGUAUGACCCUGCAGCUCCCCCAUCACACUUGCACCCACCUCAAGGAAUCCAGUUCACCUCUAUGGAAAAUCCCUGGGCUCCACGGGACAGAGUCUUGUUUUGUUUUACAUCUGUGUGUCCAUGCCUAGCCAGUAUCUUGUUUAGUGCAGCCUUUCCAUAAUAUUUGUGGAGAGAAAGAAAAAUGAAAGGAAGAAGAGAGGGAGGGGAAAAAGAAAGUGAGAGGAAAGAAGAAAGGUAAAAAGGAAGUAGCACUCUUGGUUUUGCUUCUCCUUGGCUGUUUCGUUAUUCUCAGUACUCCCCAACCCAUCUUCCUGGGAUAAGAAAAAAAAAAGACAUCUAAAAUGACACUUCCAAAAGAUUAAUAUUUUCAUUUCAACACUUCUGAAAGUAUUUCAAUGAAAUUGCUUUCAAAUGGUUUAUUUUAUAUUAGAUCAUUGAGAGAUAGAUUAAUGUCAUAAACGUAGGUACUAGCAAGCAAUAUUUUUGUCUCCUAUGUGCACAUAUUGUAUAUUUCAUAUCCUCUGAUAACUUGAAGUCACUAAUUUAAGUCAAAUUAGGGAAAGGGCAGUAUAGUAAUUGCAAUAUUUUCGGCUCCUUCUUGGUAACAAAUGCAGCUUCUUUUUUCCCCUCCACCCAUAUAUGAGUCUUCUUUUUCUUUGGCUAAGAUAUAAUAGCACUGCUCUACAUGAACAAAACUAUUUUUACUGGCUAUGUUAUUACUGAGAAAUGCAUUGGGAAAAUGUAAAAAUAUUUCACCUUUAUGUUGAAGAAAAUAAACACAGUGGAUUAGAUAAAAUUUGCACAGCUCUUGACAUGUGCCAUAUGUAACAUUUGGGAAACAUCAAAAAAGAGGCUCUGACUUCUUCGGAGAAUCAUAGACUCUGGCACUGGAGGGGGACUGAUCCACCAC
rnacentral:lncRNA from 1 species